rnacentral:rRNA from 1 species
UUUUCGCAAUGCCCGAAAGGGUGACGAAGCGACGCCGCGUGGGUGAGGAAGGCCUUCGGGUUGUAAAGCCCUGUCAGGAGUUAAGAAAUGUAGAUGCGCUAAUAUCGUAUUUGCUUGACGAAGGCUCCAAAGGAAGUCACGGCUAACUCUGUGCCAGCAGCCGCGGUAAUACAGAGGUGGCAAGCGUUGUUCGGAAUUAUUGGGCGUAAAGAGCACGUAGGUGGGUUUGUAAGUCAGAUGUGAAAGCCUUCUGUUCAACGGAAGAAUUGCAUCUGAAACUGCGAAUCUUGAGUAUAGGAGGGGAGAAUGGAACUUCUGGUGGAGCGGUGAAAUGCGUAGAUAUCAGAAGGAACGCCGGCGGCGAAAGCGAUUCUCUGGCCUAUUACUGACACUCAGUGUGCGAAAGCUAGGGGAGCAAACGGGAUUAGAUACCCCGGUAGUCCUAGCCGUAAACGAUGGGCACUAAGUAGAGGGGUUUUA